ACAAGCUAGGUAGGAGCUUGGAAAAGAACGGGUCAAAUGGAUACAAGUUCAAGUAUGAAGCUCGCAAGGAUGCAAGGAGUAGAUAUCCAAUGGAUACUCGCAUCGCUCUUAAUUAGCAAUUAUAAAGCAAGGUACAUUUUGGAUGCCGGAAGACGAUCAAGCUCAUUGGAGAACCGAACACGAUAAAGAUACAUGCUUCCGCACAGUGUCCUGUCGUAAAUUUUAAACGACGAAUUCAAUUACGUUAUGUCGAAUAACUUAUGAUUUGUAAAAGAUUUAAUAAACCCAUAUUUUUA